rnacentral:rRNA from 1 species
UACGUAGGGUGCAAGCGUUGUCCGGAAUUAUUGGGCGUAAAGAGCUCGUAGGCGGUUUGUCGCGUCUGCUGUGAAAUCUGGAGGCUCAACCUCCAGCCUGCAGUGGGUACGGGCAGACUAGAGUGCGGUAGGGGAGAUUGGAACUCCUGGUGUAGCGGUGGAAUGCGCAGAUAUCGGGAAGAACACCCGUGGCGAAGGCGGCUCUCUGGGACGGUACUGACGCUGAGACGCGAAAGCGUGGGGAGCGAACAGG